rnacentral:rRNA from 1 species
UACGGGGGGGGGUAAGCGUUGUUCGGAAUUACUGGGCGUAAAGCGCGCGUAGGCGGCUUUGCAAGUCGGGUGUGAAAUCCCCAGGCUUAACCUGGGAACUGCAUUCGAGACUGCAUUGCUAGAGUAUGGGAGAGGGAAGUGGAAUUUCCGGUGUAGCGGUGAAAUGCGUAGAUAUCGGAAGGAACAUCAGUGGCGAAAAGCGACUUCCUGGACCAAUACUGACGCUCAUGUGCGAAAGCGUGGGGAGCAAACAGG